UGAACGCUAGCGACAGGCUUAACACAUAGCAAGUCGAGGGGUAACAGGGUAGCAAUACCGCUGACGACCGGCGCACGGGUGAGUAACGCGUAUGCAACCUGCCUAUAACUGGGGAAUAGCUCCCUGAAAGGGGAAUUAACACCGCAUAACACUAUUGAUUCGCAUGGAUUGGUAGUUAAAUGUAGCGAUACAGGUUAUAGAUGGGCAUGCGUGACAUUAGCUAGUUGGUGAGGUAACGGCUCACCAAGGCUACGAUGUCUAGGGGUUCUGAGAGGAAGGUCCCCCACACUGGUACUGAGACACGGACCAGACUCCUACGGGAGGCAGCAGUGAGGAAUAUUGGUCAAUGGGCGCAAGCCUGAACCAGCCAUGUCGCGUGCAGGAAGACUGCCCCUAUGGGUUGUAAACUGCUUUUAUAGUAGAAGAAACACAUCUACGCGUAGAUGUCUGCCAGUAUACUAUGAAUAAGCAUCGGCUAACUCCGUGCCAGCCGCCGC
rnacentral:rRNA from 1 species